UUUCUAGAUUUAAUUCAGUCGGAUUUUUUCGUCGGUCGAAGUGGACGUGUCAUUUUUUGUGACCUGUUAUAUAGUAUUCCUGCUCUUCCUAAGAAUCUUGAUUUAAGACCUGGGAAUGCAAACAAUCACCACGUACUUGGAGGAUGUAUUAAUCCCUUCUGCGGAUAGACGAGUAAACAACCGGACUAAAUAUUAAAUGAAAGCCAACGUCUUCAACUGGUUUUUAUUUUUAUGCAGUAAAAGUGGACUCUUUGUGAAUUUCACCUUUUAAACUACAGAUUUACUUCAGGCGGAAUAAUUUCGUCGAUCGAAAUGGACACUUCAAUUUUUGUGACCUGUUGGAUCGCAUUCCUGCUGUCCCUGGGACAUCUGUUGGCUCAACCUAAUUGGUCGGCUCAACCCAAAUGGUUGGCUCAUCCCGAUCAGUUGGCUCGAAACACCGAGGAACCACAGAAUAUCGACACUUCGAAGCUUGAUUUAACACCUGAAAUUGGAAUCAAUCAAGGCGCACUUACGGGAUGUACUAAUCCCUUCGGCUGCUAUACGAGUAAACAACAGGACUAAAUAUUCAAUAAAAGCCAACGCAUUCAACUGGUUUUUAUUUUUAUACAGUAAAAGUGGACUAUUCGUGAAUAUGACCUUUUAUCAUCAAGCAAACGUCGCCAAAUACUCAAAAAAUUCUUAUUUUUCUAGAUUUACUUCAGUCGGAAUCCGUUGGAUCAACCCAAUCCGUUGGCUCAACCCACUACGAAACCACAGGCUUUCGUCCCUUCGAAUAUGAACUUAACAAGUGAGAAACCCGUCGUGUAACAAUCCCUUUUCAAGUGGGUAAAUAACGGAAUAACCUUAAACGCUUAUAUUUUUAUGAAAUAAAAGUAGACUCUACGUGACCCUGUAA